GUGAGGAAUAUUGUGCAAUGGAGGCAACUCUGACGCAGCCAUGCCGCGUGCAGGAAGAAGGCGCUACGCGUUGUAAACUGCUUUUAACCGGGAAGAAACCCCAGGACGUGUCCUGGGUUGACGGUACCGGAGGAAUAAGCACCGGCUAACUUCGUGCCAGCAGCCGCGGUAAUACGAAGGGUGCAAGCGUUAUCCGGAUUCAUUGGGUUUAAAGGGUGCGUAGGCGGAGCGUUAAGUCAGUGGUGAAAUCCUGCAGCUUAACUGUAGACUUGCCAUUGAUACUGGCGCUCUUGAGUGCGCUUGAAGUGGGCGGAAUGUGCCGUGUAGCGGUGAAAUGCUUAGAUAUGGCACAGAACACCAAUUGCGAAGGCAGCUCACUAAGGCGAUACUGACGCUGAGGCACGAAAGCGUGGGGAUCGAACAGGAUUAGAAACCCGUGUAGUCC
rnacentral:rRNA from 1 species